CCUACGGGUGGCAGCAGUGAGGAAUAUUGGUCAAUGGACGAGAGUCUGAACCAGCCAAGUAGCGUGAAGGAUGACUGCCCUAUGGGUUGUAAACUUCUUUUAUAUGGGAAUAAAAUGUUCCACGUGUGGGAUUUUGUAUGUCCCAUAUAAAUAAGGAUCGGCUAACUCCGUGCCAGCAGCCGCGGUAAUACGGAGGAUCCGAGCGUUAUCCGGAUUUAUUGGGUUUAAAGGGAGCGUAGGUGGAUUGUUAAGUCAGUUGUGAAAGUUUGCGGCUCAACCGUAAAAUUGCAGUUGAAACUGGCAGUCUUGAGUACAGUAGAGGUGGGCGGAAUUCGUGGUGUAGCGGUGAAAUGCUUAGAUAUCACGAAGAACUCCGAUUGCGAAGGCAGUUCACUGGACUGCAACUGACACUGAGGCUCGAAAGUGUGGGUAUCAAACAGGAUUAGAUACCCCAGUAGUC
rnacentral:rRNA from 1 species